ACGAACGCUGGCGGCGUGCUUAACACAUGCAAGUCGAACGGUCGGCACUGGAAGGUUCGCUGGAAGGUGCCGGUAGUGGCGGACGGGUGAGUAACGCGUGAGGACAUGGCUCCAGGAGGGGGAUAACGUUUGGAAACGGACGCUAAGACCCCAUAUGCCGGAAGGUGAAACUGGUGCAAGCCAGCCUGGAGAGUGACUCGCGUCCUAUCAGCUAGUUGGUGGGGUGAAGGCCUACCAAGGCGAUGACGGGUAGCCGACCUGAGAGGGUGGCCGGCCACACUGGAACUGAGAUACGGUCCAGACUCCUACGGGAGGCAGCAGUGGGGAAUAUUGGGCAAUGGGCGAAAGCCUGACCCAGCGACGCCGCGUGGGGGAAGAAGUCUUUCGGGAUGUAAACCCUUGUUGUACGGGACGAAACGAAUGACGGUACCGUACGAGGAAGCCCCGGCAAACUACGUGCCAGCAGCCGCGGUAAUACGUAGGGGGCGAGCGUUGUCCGGAAUUACUGGGCGUAAAGCGCACGUAGGCGGGCUGUCAAGUCGGCCGUGAAAGGCACUGGCUCAACCGGUGUUUGUCGGUCGAUACUGGCGGUCUGGAGUAUGGGAGAGGGAACUGGAAUUCCCGGUGUAGCGGUGAAAUGCGUAGAUAUCGGGAGGAACACCAGUGGCGAAGGCGGGUUCCUGGCCCAUUACUGACGCUGAGGUGCGAAAGCCGGGGGAGCGAACGGGAUUAGAUACCCCGGUAGUCCCGGCUGUAAACGAUGGAUGCUAGGUGUGGGGGGGGUUCCCCUCUGUGCCGCAGCUAACGCGAUAAGCAUCCCGCCUGGGGAGUACGAUCGCAAGAUUG
rnacentral:rRNA from 1 species